rnacentral:lncRNA from 1 species
GGAAAUCUGGUUGAAGUUAAGGGACCGUUUUUCCUAGCUAAACGAACCUCAAAUAUUCCAACUCAAAAAAGCUAUGGCUAGCCUGUUGCAAGAAAAUGAUUCAGUAAGUAUUUAUUAUGGGAAAUUGAAGUCAAUAUAAGAUAAAUUAUCUAUUUAUGACCUUAUCCCAUCUUGUGAGUGUGGCAAAUUGAAAACACUUCUAGAUCGAUACCAAAUCAAUUGUGUUAUGCAAUUUCUUAUUGGCUUGAAUAAGAAGUAUGCAAAUAUUAGAGACCAAAUUACGCUCAUCGAC